UGUUCCGGUUUUUGUUCUUGUGAACGUUGACAUCGAUUCGUUCCAAAUUUACACUCUCUGGGCAUGAUAGAACAAUAUAAUAAGGUUUUACGCUUUAUUCGAUAGAAUGGGAAAAAGUACUCGCUGCAAAGUUAUACUGUUAUGGGCAACUGAGUAGUCUAAUGUUGUUCCGGUUUUUGUUCUUGUGAACGUUGACAACGAUUCGUUCCAAAUUUACACUCUCGGGGCAUAAUAGAACAAUAUAAUUAGGUUUUACUCUUUUUUCGAUUGAAUGAGAAAAAGUACUAGUUGCAAUGUUAUACUGUUAGGGCUCAACUGAGUAGUCUAACUUUGUUCCGAUUUUGGUUCUUGUGAACGUUUACAUCGAUUCGUUCCAAAUUUACACUCUCGGGGCAUGAUAGAAAGCAUUUAAUCCUUGUUCGAUAGAAUGAGAAAAAGUACUCGUUGCAAAGUUAUACUGUUAUGGGACAACUGAGUAGUCUAAUGUUGUUCCGGUUUUGGUUCUUGUGAACGUUGACAUUGAUUCGUUCCAAAUUUACACUCUCGGGGAAUAAUAGAACAAUAUAAUUAGAUUUUGCUCUUUGUUCGAUUGAAUGAGAAAAAGUACUAGUUGCAAAGUUAUACUGUUAGGGCUCAACUGAGUAGUCUAACUUUGUUCCGGUUUUGAUUCUUGUGAAUAUUUACAUCGAUUCGAUCGAAAUUUACACUCUCGGGGCAUAAUAGAAAGCUUUUACUCCUUGUUCGAUAGAACUAGAAAAAGUACUAGUUGCUAAGUUAUGCUGUUAUGGCGGAACUGAGUAGUCUAAUGUUGUUCCGGUUUUGGUUCUUUUGAACGUAGACAUCGAUUCGUUCCAAAUUUACACUCUCGGGGUAUAGUAGAACAACAUAAUUAGGUUUUGCUUAUUGUUCGAUUGAAUGAGAAAAAGUACUAGUUGCAAUGUUAUACUGUAAGGGCUCAAUUGAGUAGUCUAACUUUGUUCCGAUUUUGGUUCUAGUGAACGUUGACAUCGAUUCGUUCCAAAUUUAUACUUUCGGGGCAAAAUAGAACAUUAUAAUUAGGUUUUGCUCUUUGUUCGAUUGAAUGAGAAAAAGUACUAGUUGCAAUGUUAUACUGUUGGGGCUCAACUUAGUAGUCUAACUUUGUUCCGGUUUUGGUUAAUGUGAACGUUGACAUCGAUUCGUUCCAAAUUUACACUCUCGGGGCAUAAUAGAAAGCUUUUACUCCUUGUUCGAUAGAAUGAGAAAAAGUACUCGUUGCAAAGUUAUACUGUUAUGGCGCAACUGAGUAGUCUAACUUUGUUCCGGUUUUGGUUCUUGUGAACGUUUAUAUCGAUUCGUUCCAAAUAUACACUCUCGGGGCAUAAUAGAAAGCUUUUACUCCUUGUUCGAUAGAAUGAGAAAAAGUACUCGUUGCAAAGUUAUACUGUUAUGGGGCAACUGAGUAGUCUAAAGUUGUUCCGGUUUUGGUUCUUGUGAACGUUGACAUCGAUUCGUACCAAAUUUACACUCUCGGGGUAUAAUAGAACAAUAUAAUUAGGUUUUGCUCUUUGUUCGAUUGAAUGAGAAAAAGUACUAGUUGCAAAGUUAUACUGUUAGGGCUCAACUGGGUAGUCUAACUUUGUUCCGAUUUUGGUUCUUGUGAACGUUUAUAUCGAUUCGUUUCAAAUUUACACACUCGGGGCAUAAUAGAAAGCUUUUACUCCUUGUUCGAUAGAAUGAGAAAAAGUACUCGUUGCAAAGUUAUACUGUUAUGGCGCAACUGAGUAGUCUAAUGUUGUUCCGAUUUUGGUUCUUGUGAACGUUGACAUUGAUUCGUUCCAAAUUUACACACUCGGGGUAUAAUAGAACAAUAAAAUUAGGUUUUGCUCUUUG
rnacentral:lncRNA from 1 species